rnacentral:lncRNA from 1 species
AGUAAAUCUUAUCACUAUCUAACAAAGUAUGUUAGAGGUUAUAAGAUUCUAGACUUCACCAAAUUCAUCGACGGAGGAAAAUAGUCAACCUUCGUGAAGAUAAUUUUAGGAAAUUGAGAUUAUUUUUAAGUUUAUAUGUUGAGACUACAUUUUAGUAGUAUAUAUCUUUAAGAAAUGUCCAAUAAAUUUAGUUAAUAACUAUUAGGGAAGUGAUCCAU